CAGCCGCCGCGGUAAUACAGAGGGUGCAAGCGUUAAUCGGAAUUACUGGGCGUAAAGCGCGCGUAGGUGGUUUGUUAAGUUGGAUGUGAAAUCCCCGGGCUCAACCUGGGAACUGCAUCCAAAACUGGCAAGCUAGAGUAUGGUAGAGGGUGGUGGAAUUUCCUGUGUAGCGGUGAAAUGCGUAGAUAUAGGAAGGAACACCAGUGGCGAAGGCGACCACCUGGACUGAUACUGACACUGAGGUGCGAAAGCAUGGGGAGCAAACAGGAUUAGAUACCCCCGUAGUCCCUGUCUCUUAUAC
rnacentral:rRNA from 1 species